rnacentral:rRNA from 1 species
CGCUGGCGGCGUGCCUAAUACAUGCAAGUCGAGCGGACCGACGGGAGCUUGCUCCCUUAGGUCAGCGGCGGACGGGUGAGUAACACGUGGGUAACCUGCCUGUAAGACUGGGAUAACUCCGGGAAACCGGGGCUAAUACCGGAUGCUUGAUUGAACCGCGAUGGUUCAAUCAUAAAAGGUGGCUUUUAGCUACCACUUGCAGAUGGACCCGCGGCGCAUUAGCUAGUUGGUGAGGUAACGGCUCACCAAGGCGACGAUGCGUAGCCGACCUGAGAGGGUGAUCGGCCACACUGGGACUGAGACACGGCCCAGACUCCUACGGGAGGCAGCAGUAGGGAAUCUUCCGCAAUGGACGAAAGUCUGACGGAGCAACGCCGCGUGAGUGAUGAAGGUUUUCGGAUCGUAAAGACUCUGUUGUUACGGGGAAGAACAAGUACCGUGUCGAAUAGGGCGGUACCUUGACGGUACCUAACCAGAAAGCCACGGCUAACUACGUGCCAGCAGCCGCGGUAAUACGUAGGUGGCAAGCGUUGUCGCGGAAUUAUUGGGCGUAAAGCGCGCGCAGGCGGUUUCUUAAGUCUGAUGUGAAAGCCCCCGGCUCAACCGGGGAGGGUCAUUGGAAACUGGGGAACUUGAGUGCAGAAGAGGAGAGUGGAAUUCCACGUGUAGCGGUGAAAUGCGUAGAGAUGUGGAGGAACACCAGUGGCGAAGGCGACUCUCUGGUCUGUAASUGACGCUAAGGCACGAAAGCGU